GACUGCACAGGCUAUGCAGAACAUGUGCAUAAGGGGAUGAGAGCCUGUGCAGUUCUGCAUAAGUGGCAUAAAGGGCUGCACAGGCUAUGCAAAAUAUGUGCAUAAGGGAAUUCACAGCCUGUGCAGUAUAUUCAAAGGCUGCUGCAUGAUGAGUAGCAAGGAAAAAAUGUGCAACCACCAGUAGAUGCAUGCAAAAAUAUACAAUGUAUGGGCAAUUAUGCACAAAAGGGCAAUAAAUGCAAUGAAAAUGAAAGAAAACUAAUGUAAUAGCUAU
rnacentral:misc_RNA from 1 species